rnacentral:tRNA from 1 species
AUUAAAUCAUAAGAUGGUGAACUGUAAAUUCACAUUAGAUUAUAACAGCAUCUUUAACUU